rnacentral:rRNA from 1 species
UACGUAGGGUGCAAGCGUUGUCCGGAAUUAUUGGGCGUAAAGAGCUCGUAGGCGGUCUGUCGCGUCGGCUGUGAAAACUCGGGGCUCAACCCCGAGCCUGCAGUCGAUACGGGCAGACUAGAGUGCGGUAGGGGAGACUGGAAUUCCUGGUGUAGCGGUGAAAUGCGCAGAUAUCAGGAGGAACACCAAUAGCGAAGGCAGCUCGCUGGGACGUUACUGACACUAAGGCGCGAAAGCGUGGGGAGCGAACAGG